AUUUAUGGUGGGGUGUGGCACCGAAGAGAAAUGUUUUUCGUGCCAAAAAUUUUGCCGACCCAACAAUUAAAAUAUCAAAAAUUUGAUUACCCAACCUCAAAUAUCAUUUAAAAAAUAAAAACCCACCCCUGGCCAAAAACGUUAGAAAAGGAUGUCAUUCAGUUGUCACAUAUGUCCUUUACCACUUCUGUAAUACGAGUUUGAUAACGUUCGGCUUGUGAAAUUUACUGACUUUUCUGCAGUCUAAAGCUUCAUGUUGUCUGCACAUUUACUUUCUUUGGAGACACCAUUUGUCUCCCAACAAAUCGGAAAAUCAUCAAGAUAGUGACUCUGAUUGAUUGAUUGAUUGAAAUAUUGUAUUGACAUAUGACUGUUGACAUUGCAGUUUUCAGUCUUCGAUAUUUGAGUGAGUCAUGCUUUGGAAAUGACAAUAAAUUUUUAUUACCCAACCUUUGAGUUGUUUCGUUUUUCAUUUACCUAACCUUUUACUCACUCAAAAUUUUGUUUACCCAACCGUUUUCUCUUCGGUGCCACCCCCCGCCAUAAAUAAUGACCGG